CCUACGGGAGGCAGCAGUGGGGAAUAUUGGGCAAUGGACGCAAGGCUGAACCAGCAACGCCGCGUGAAGGAAGAAGGCGUUCGGGUUGUAAACUUCUUUUAAGGGGGAAGAGCAGAAGACGGUACCCCUUGAAUAAGCCACGGCUAACUACGUGCCAGCAGCCGCGGUCAUACGUAGGUGGCAAGCGUUGUCCGGAGUUACUGGGUGUAAAGGGCGUGUAGCCGGGAAGACAAGUCAGAUGUGAAAUCCCGCGGCUCAACCGCGGAACUGCAUUUGAAACUGGUUUUCUUGAGUAUCGGAGAGGUAAUCGGAAUUCGUAGUGUAGCGGUGAAAUGCGUAGAUAUUAGGAAGAACACCAGUGGCGAAGGCGGCUUACUGGCCGCCAACUGACGGUGAGGCGCGAAAGCGUGGGGAGCGAACAGGAUUAGAUACCCGUGUAGUC
rnacentral:rRNA from 1 species